rnacentral:rRNA from 1 species
GAUGAACGCUGGCGGCGUGCCUAAUACAUGCAAGUCGAGCGAACAGGUGAGGAGCUUGCUCCUCUGACGUUAGCCGCGGACGGGUGAGUAACACGUGGAUAACCUACCUAUAAGACUGGGAUAACUUCGGGAAACCGGCGCUAAUCCCGGAUAAUCUAUUGAACCGCGUGGUUCAUUAGUGAAAGACGGUUUUGCUGUCACUUAUCGAUGGAUCCGCGCCGCAUUAGCUAGUUGGUAAGGUAACGGCUUACCAAGGCAACGAUGCGUAGCCGACCUGAGAGGCGGAUCGGCCACACGGGAAGGGAGACACGGUCCAGACUCCUACGGGAGGCAGCAGUAGGGAAUCUUCGGCAAUGGGCGAAAGCCUGACGGAGCAACGCCGCGUGAGUGAUGAAGGUCUCCGGAUCGUAAAACUCUGUUAUGAGGGAAGAACAAAUGUGUAAGUAACUAUGCACGUCGUGACGGUACCUAAUCAGAAAGCCACGGCUAACUACGUG